AAGUCAAUAUUCUGUGCUCUCCAUCCAUUGAUCUAUCAUGCUUCUAUCCUCAGAAGUACACCUCCAUUUAUAAUCAAUGCGCUGCAUUUACUCUGCGCUACUUCUGUUCCUAGAAGUACCAUCCACAUAUAUACACACUCCAUGCAUCUUGUGCUAUUUUUACACUAGAAACAUGCACCUAUAUUGCUCCCGUCCUGGGAGUAUGCAUUCCUCUAUUCACAUGCAUACACUUCAUUCAUUCAAAAAAAUGUUCUACUCCUACACUAAGAGUGAACACCAAAUAUAUAUAACACCAUCCUAUCCUUUUUCCGUUGUUCAAUAAAGCUCUAGUUACUUCAGUUGAAACUCUCUACUAAUACAGUUCCAUCAAGAGGCUUGGCUAUUUAAAAAAAGGAAAAAAAGAGGACAAAUGUCUCAAGAAAAAAAUGAAAAUGAGCAGCCCAAGUACUCCUCAAAGUUUCUAGAGUUCCACAUAAGGGAGGUAUAUAUCCUCAAGGAGCAAAUAUAGAAUUAGAUCUCCACCACCAUCAUUAUCACCCCUCAUAAUCAUUUCCUUAUCAUUAACAUUCAUAUCACUCAUUUCAUUGCCCUCAUCCACAUGCACAUAUGAUUUGAUUGUAUAACUAAUUCCUCUAGAUCCACAGUUUAACUAUACAACAUAUGUCUGCAAGUAUGUUUGAGCUGUCUCCCUACCUAUGAGCUCCACAUAAGCCUAUUAGAUGUAGGGUGAGAGAGAGAAGGCACAAUGCCACUAUGCCUUAAUUCCACAUAUACCACAUAUUCUAAGAGUAGAGAGAAGGCAUACAUCAUUCAUGCCUUGGUAAGGAUCUAGAAAUACCACAAAUGAGAGACUUGAAAGGGUAAUACAAGGAAACUCUAAGUUUUAUUUGAAAAUCUUACAAACACUCUAGAAUAAUAGUUGAUCAAAGACUAAGAAAUAUAGCGCUUGACUUGAUUGUUAUGUCUUUCAACUGCUCAAGAACCAAGUCAUAGUUACAAGCCCCAUGGUGGAAGGUAAUAUGAGUGAGUUUCAAGUCAGAAUAGUUCACUCUAAUCUGGCAGAGAGUUCUUGUUUGAAUGCAUGUGUACUUUUGAGGCGUGAAAGCAUUGUAGCAACUCCUGAUCCAUCACUGAGUUUAUCUUUGCUUAGAGAUGAGCAAAGGGUAAGCUUGGGCGAGUUGUUGACAGUAGAUAACUCCUAAUUUUAACCGUCAAGUAAACAUGAAAUUGGACCUAUUUGCAAACACCUAGUAGAUAUAGGGUUAUCACUAAUAUAAUUCCAUAGGUUUUGGUGAAUAUCUGUUUCUGCAGGGUAUCAGCUGAAAACAAACAAAGAUGGUCCAC
rnacentral:lncRNA from 1 species